UGGGGAAUAUUGCACAAUGGGGGAAACCCUGAUGCAGCGACGCCGCGUGAGCGAAGAAGGUUUUCGAAUCGUAAAGCUCUGUCCUAUGAGAAGAUAAUGACGGUAUCAUAGGAGGAAGCCCCGGCUAAAUACGUGCCAGCAGCCGCGGUAAUACGUAUGGGGCGAGCGUUGUCCGGAAUUAUUGGGCGUAAAGGGUACGUAGGCGGUUUUUUAAGUCAGGUGUCAAAGCGUGGAGCUUAACUCCAUUAAGCACUUGAAACUGAAAGACUUGAGUGAAGGAGAGGAAAGUGGAAUUCCUAGUGUAGCGGUGAAAUGCGUAGAUAUUAGGAGGAAUACCGGUGGCGAAGGCGACUUUCUGGACUUUUACUGACGCUCAGGUACGAAAGCGUGGGGAGCGAACAGG
rnacentral:rRNA from 1 species